rfam:Merops nubicus contig82676, whole genome shotgun sequence.
UGGAAGCUGGUUUCACAUGGUGGCUUAGAUUUUCCCACUUCGUAUCUAGCACCAUUUGAAAUCAGUGUUCU